CUACUGUGAUGUUCCAUUUGAACUCUCUCACUGAACUUUUAUUGAGGAAACUUAAUCUCUCAAACUUCUGAGUAGC